GUUAUAUGGUCAAGCGAAUAAGCGCACACGGUGGAUGCCUAGGCGGUCAGAGGCGAUGAAGGACGUGGUAGCCUGCGAAAAGUGUCGGGGAGCUGGCAACAAGCUUUGAUCCGGCAAUAUCCGAAUGGGGAAACCCACUGCUUCGGCAGUAUCCUGCAGUGAAUUCAUAGCUGCUGGAAGCGAACCCGGUGAACUGAAAUAUCUAAGUAACCGGAGGAAAAGAAAUCAACCGAGAUUCCCUAAGUAGUGACGAGCGAACGGGGAACAGCCCUUAAGCUGGAAUGGCUUUAGAAAAACAAUCUGGAAAGAUUGGCCAUAGAAGGUGAUAGCCC
rnacentral:rRNA from 1 species